rnacentral:rRNA from 1 species
GGUUAAGCGACUAAGCGUACACGGUGGAUGCCCUGGCAGUCAGAGGCGAUGAAGGACGUGCUAAUCUGCGAAAAGCGUCGGUAAGGUGAUAUGAACCGUUAUAACCGGCGAUGUCCGAAUGGGGAAACCCAGUGCAAUUCGUUGCACUAUCGUUAACUGAAUACAUAGGUUAACGAGGCGAACCGGGGGAACUGAAACAUCUAAGUACCCCGAGGAAAAGAAAUCAACCGAGAUUCCCCCAGUAGCGGCGAGCGAACGGGGAGCAGCCCAGAGUCUGAAUCAGCUUGUGUGUUAGUGGAACGGUCUGGAAAGUCCGACGGUACAGGGUGAUAGUCCCGUACACCAAAAUGCACAGGUUGUGAACUCGAAGAGUAGGGCGGGACACGUGGUAUCCUGUCUGAAUAUGGGGGGACCAUCCUCCAAGGCUAAAUACUCCUGACUGACCGAUAGUGAACCAGUACCGUGAGGGAAAGGCGAAAAGAACCCCGGCGAGGGGAGUGAAAAAGAACCUGAAACCGUGUACGUACAAGCAGUGGGAGCACCUUCGGGUGUGACUGCGUACCUUUUGUAUAAUGGGUCAGCGACUUAUAUUCUGUAGCAAGGUUAACCGUAUAGGGGAGCCGCAGGGAAACCGAGUCUUAACUGGGCGUUAAGUUGCAGGGUAUAGACCCGAAACCCGGUGAUCUAGCCAUGGGCAGGUUGAAGGUUGGGUAACACUAACUGGAGGACCGAACCGACUAAUGUUGAAAAAUUAGCGGAUGACUUGUGGCUGGGGGUGAAAGGCCAAUCAAACCGGGAGAUAGCUGGUUCUCCCCGAAAGCUAUUUAGGUAGCGCCUCGUGAACUCAUCUUCGGGGGUAGAGCACUGUUUCGGCUAGGGGGUCAUCCCGACUUACCAACCCGAUGCAAACUACGAAUACCGAAGAAUGUUAUCACGGGAGACACACGGCGGGUGCUAACGUCUGUCGUGAAGAGGGAAACAACCCAGACCGCCAGCUAAGGUCCCAAAGUCAUGGUUAAGUGGGAAACGAUGUGGGAAGGCACAGACAGCCAGGAUGUUGGCUUAGAAGCAGCCAUCAUUUAAAGAAAGCGUAAUAGCUCACUGGUCGAGUCGGCCUGCGCGGAAGAUGUAACGGGGCUAAACCAUGCACCGAAGCUGCGGCAGCGACACUAUGUGUUGUUGGGUAGGGGAGCGUUCUGUAAGCCUGCGAAGGUGUGCUGUGAGGCAUGCUGGAGGUAUCAGAAGUGCGAAUGCUGACAUAAGUAACGAUAAAGCGGGUGAAAAGCCCGCUCGCCGGAAGACCAAGGGUUCCUGUCCAACGUUAAUCGGGGCAGGGUGAGUCGACCCCUAAGGCGAGGCCGAAAGGCGUAGUCGAUGGGAAACAGGUUAAUAUUCCUGUACUUGGUGUUACUGCGAAGGGGGGACGGAGAAGGCUAUGUUAGCCGGGCGACGGUUGUCCCGGUUUAAGCAUGUAGGCUGGUUAUCCAGGCAAAUCCGGAUAAUCAAGGCUGAGGUGUGAUGACGAGGCACUACGGUGCUGAAGUAACAAAUGCCCUGCUUCCAGGAAAAGCCUCUAAGCAUCAGGUAACAUCAAAUCGUACCCCAAACCGACACAGGUGGUCAGGUAGAGAAUACCAAGGCGCUUGAGAGAACUCGGGUGAAGGAACUAGGCAAAAUGGUGCCGUAACUUCGGGAGAAGGCACGCUGGUGUGUAGGUGAAGUCCCUGCGGAUGGAGCUGAGACCAGUCGAAGAUACCAGCUGGCUGCAACUGUUUAUUAAAAACACAGCACUGUGCAAACACGAAAGUGGACGUAUACGGUGUGACGCCUGCCCGGUGCCGGAAGGUUAAUUGAUGGGGUUAUCCGUAAGGAGAAGCUCUUGAUCGAAGCCCCGGUAAACGGCGGCCGUAACUAUAACGGUCCUAAGGUAGCGAAAUUCCUUGUCGGGUAAGUUCCGACCUGCACGAAUGGCGUAAUGAUGGCCAGGCUGUCUCCACCCGAGACUCAGUGAAAUUGAACUCGCUGUGAAGAUGCAGUGUACCCGCGGCAAGACGGAAAGACCCCGUGAACCUUUACUAUAGCUUGACACUGAACAUUGAGCCUUGAUGUGUAGGAUAGGUGGGAGGCUUUGAAGCGUGGACGCCAGUCUGCGUGGAGCCAACCUUGAAAUACCACCCUUUAAUGUUUGAUGUUCUAACGUUGGCCCCUGACCGGGGUUGCGGACAGUGUCUGGUGGGUAGUUUGACUGGGGCGGUCUCCUCCCAAAGCGUAACGGAGGAGCACGAAGGUUAGCUAAUCCUGGUCGGACAUCAGGAGGUUAGUGCAAUGGCAUAAGCUAGCUUGACUGCGAGCGUGACGGCGCGAGCAGGUGCGAAAGCAGGUCAUAGUGAUCCGGUGGUUCUGAAUGGAAGGGCCAUCGCUCAACGGAUAAAAGGUACUCCGGGGAUAACAGGCUGAUACCGCCCAAGAGUUCAUAUCGACGGCGGUGUUUGGCACCUCGAUGUCGGCUCAUCACAUCCUGGGGCUGAAGUAGGUCCCAAGGGUAUGGCUGUUCGCCAUUUAAAGUGGUACGCGAGCUGGGUUUAGAACGUCGUGAGACAGUUCGGUCCCUAUCUGCCGUGGGCGCUGGAGAAUUGAGGGGGGCUGCUCCUAGUACGAGAGGACCGGAGUGGACGCAUCACUGGUGUUCGGGUUGUCAUGCCAAUGGCACUGCCCGGUAGCUAAAUGCGGAAGAGAUAAGUGCUGAAAGCAUCUAAGCACGAAACUUGCCCCGAGAUGAGUUCUCCCUGAGACUAUAAGUCUCCUGAAGGAACGUUAAAGACGAUGACGUUGAUAGGCCGGGUGUGUAAGCGCAGCGAUGCGUUGAGCUAACCGGUACUAAUGAACCGUGAGGCUUAACCUU